GUUUGAUGUCGAGAUUGCUAAUUCUCCCUAGAGGCAGCCCUCAGCUGUAGGAAGGAUACCUAUCGCAGUGAGAAAGCAAUAGGAACCAGAGGGAAGCGCGGCUGGCAGUGGAGAAACUAUGGCUGCCUCAUCACAUGAGUCUUCUAGGUGGAGCGACUGGCACACAUUGAAGCAUCCAAGGAAGGAACUUGAAACUCUGCAGUUGCUGUGAGUGCUUCUGUCCUGCAUGUUGCUCAGCUCUUGCUCUGACUUCCUAGGUCUAACCUGAGGCCUGCUGCAGAACAAUGUCUGCUCUUUUAGUCCUGUCCUGUUGCUGUUUCCAUGUCAAGUAAAAUAGAAUACUCAACACAGGCAUUACCGCUUUCCUUAUUUUCACAGUCCAUUUACUUUCUCAGAAAAAUAGAACAGACUAAGUGUUAACAUUUUCUAAGAGGUGUCAGAUACUCUUCUUUACUCCUUAUAUGUAUUGCUUAUUUGAUCUUCAUGAUACCUGGGUAGUAAAUACCAUUAUCAUGCCUAUAUUAGAAAAGAAGAAGCCAAGUAAAGGAAAAUUUAAAAACUUGUUCUUGGUCCUGGAGGUAGAAUUCACCUCACAGAGCCUUACUCCAGAGCUUAUACUCAAUUACCGAGGAGGAGGAAGAGGAGGAGGAGGAGGAGGAGGAGGAGGAGUAGGAGGAGGAGGGAAGAAAAUUCACUUAGACAAAUUACAGAGCCCUUUCACAAGGCUGUGUGACCCAUUCCAUCACUUCACUGCUGCCAAAGCCCCAAGCCAAACAACUGGAACCUCACCAUUCGCAGUGACCUCACUCCUACCACAUCCAAGAAGGACACAGCUCCACAGUCCAGCACCAGGCUGUGGAUUGGCACCUUCGGGACAUUCACUUUCACCGGGAGUUCAGAAUUCCAGUCCACUUGAAUCUCAAUUUCUUUGGUUGGGAUAUCAAGUUCUUCUGGCUCUUCAACAUCUUCAUCAGGCUCAAAAGCAUUAUUUGAUGAGCCAACAUCACUUAUAAUCCCAUUCUAACAAAGAAAACAUCUCAAACUUAGUUGUCAAUAAUAAUAGCAAAUGCCUUUCAGCAGUUUACUCCCAAAUGUUUUAGAGUCUUGCACAGACUAUCCUUUGGAAAACAAAUACAACAAGGGGAUGCAAUCCUGAGGGAUGGAUCUUGCUACCAUCUACACUUUGAUGCUAAGAAGAAAAUGGAAGAACAGAA